UACGUAGGGUGCGAGCGUUAAUCGGAAUUACUGGGCGUAAAGGGUGCGCAGGCGGCGUCGCAAGUCAGGCGUGAAAUCCCCGGGCUUAACCUGGGAACUGCACUUGAAACUACGAUGCUGGAGUAUGGCAGAGGGAGGUGGAAUUCCACGUGUAGCGGUGAAAUGCGUAGAGAUGUGGAGGAACACCGAUGGCGAAGGCAGCCUCCUGGGCCAAUACUGACGCUGAGGAGCGAAAGCCAGGGGAGCAAACGGG
rnacentral:rRNA from 1 species